GUCCCUGUAGCACAAUGAAUAGUGCGUUGCAAUUCUAAUACAAAUGUCGUUGGUUCGAAUCCCACCUGGGAUG